CACACACACAGGUAGACAGACACGUAUACAUACAGACAAACAGGUAGACAGAGACAGACAAGUUGAGAGAGAAAGACAGGUAGACAGAGAGACAGACAGGUAGACACAGACAGACAGAUCAACACACACACAGAAAGGUAGACAGAGAGAAAGACAGGUAGACACAGACAGGGAGACCCACACACAGAUGUAGACAGAGAGACAGACAGGUAGACAUAGAGACAGACAAGUAGACACAGACAGGGAGAAACACACACACAGAUGUAGACAGAGAGAAAGAUAAACAGUUACGUGACAAACAUAUAGAGAUCUACCAAGUAUGUAUACGAGCGCAUUCCGAUAUUUAUUUUAUUAUAUCCUUAAGAUCCCAGUUGUGGCUUCUUAUUAUUAUAUUGAGGUCUCCUGAAGUAACAUAAACAUGUGAACAAGAUCGAUCCAUCCCUCACUAGAUUCAACAUGCUGAGGUCUCCUGAAUUAACAUUAACAUGUAAACAAGCUUCAGUCCCUCCCUAGAGUAAACAAGAAGUAACAUGCUGAAGUAACAUGUUAAGUAUCAUUAAACACUUAAAA